rnacentral:rRNA from 1 species
UGGGGAAUAUUGCACAAUGGGCGCAAGCCUGAUGCAGCCAUGCCGCGUGUGUGAAGAAGGCCUUCGGGUUGUAAAGCACUUUCAGCGAGGAGGAAGGUGGUGAACUUAAUACGUUCAUCAAUUGACGUUACUCGCAGAAGAAGCACCGGCUAACUCCGUGCCAGCAGCCGCGGUAAUACGGAGGGUGCAAGCGUUAAUCGGAAUUACUGGGCGUAAAGCGCACGCAGGCGGUUUGUUAAGUCAGAUGUGAAAUCCCCGGGCUCAACCUGGGAACUGCAUUUGAAACUGGCAAGCUAGAGUCUCGUAGAGGGGGGUAGAAUUCCAGGUGUAGCGGUGAAAUGCGUAGAGAUCUGGAGGAAUACCGGUGGCGAAGGCGGCCCCCUGGACGAAGACUGACGCUCAGGUGCGAAAGCGUGGGGAGCAAAGCAGGAUUAGAUACCCUGGUAGUCCACGCUGUAAAACGAUGUCGAUUUGGAGGUUGUGCCCUUGAGGCGUGGCUUCCGGAGCUAACGCGUUAAAUCGACCGCCUGGGGAGUACGGCCGCAAGGUUAAAACUCAAAUGAAUUGACGGGGUC